rnacentral:rRNA from 1 species
UACGUAGGGUGCAAGCGUUAAUCGGAAUUACUGGGCGUAAAGCGUGCGCAGGCGGUUCUAUAAGACAGAUGUGAAAUCCCCGGGCUCAACCUGGGAACUGCAUUUGUGACUGUAGAGCUGGAGUACGGCAGAGGGGGAUGGAAUUCCGCGUGUAGCAGUGAAAUGCGUAGAUAUGCGGAGGAACACCGAUGCGAAGGCAAUCCCCUGGGCCUGUACUGACGCUCAUGCACGAAAGCGUGGGGAGCAAACAGG